rnacentral:rRNA from 1 species
UACGUAGGGGGCAAGCGUUGUCCGGAUUUAUUGGGCGUAAAGAGCGUGUAGGCGGCCAGACAGGUCCGUUGUGAAAACUCGAGGCUCGACCUCGAGAUGUCGAUGGAAACCGUCUGGCUAGAGUCCGGAAGAGGAGUGUGGAAUUCCUGGUGUAGCGGUGAAAUGCGCAGAUAUCAGGAAGAACACCUAUGGCGAAGGCAGCACUCUGGGACGGUACUGACGCUGAGACGCGAAAGCGUGGGGAGCGAACAGG